UACGUAGGGUCCGAGCGUUGUCCGGAAUUAUUGGGCGUAAAGGGCUCGUAGGCGGUUCGUCACGUCGGGAGUGAAAACUCGGAGCUUAACUCCGAGCCUGCUUCCGAUACGGGCAGACUAGAGGUAGGCAGGGGAGAGCGGAAUUCCUGGUGUAGCGGUGGAAUGCGCAGAUAUCAGGAAGAACACCCGUGGCGAAGGCGGCUCUCUGGGACGGUAUUGACGCUGAGACGCGAAAGCGUGGGGAGCGAACAGG
rnacentral:rRNA from 1 species